CCUCUGGGCCCAACGCAGGAGGCCCUCAGCACCCGAAAACAUCUUCCUCCUCCCCACCCGAGCCUGGAGCACUCUAACCCUCGGAGACCCCCUAAGCCCCGUUCCUCCGCAGACCCAGGCCCUCCGGAAGGGGAAGUCGGGGUCAACUCCCAGGCCUCAGAUGCAGGGGCCCAGAACACCUGCUCUCACCUGAGCCCCAGGUGAAGGGGCCCGGGAACACCUCUCACCUGAACCCGGGGGUCCCAUCCCAGGAAGAAGGGCCAUCUCAGGACAUGAGUCCUCAGGGGCCCUGCACAUUCAAUCUGAAGGUGACCCUGGCCUGGCUGAAGCUGGAAGAGCUGUGGGGACUCAGCCUGUAAACAGAGCGUAAGGUUCACAUGCUGGUUGCUUAAUCCGUUUCUGGAGGAAAAGUAUGACCCCCACUUGUGAUGGGGUCCUUGUGCGGUGGGGACCGGGGCCGGCGGGCUCCAGGCCAGCACACCUAACCCAUGGAUGUGGAACCUACGGCCCAGAAGGAAUGUUGCAUGAGUCGGAUCCCAGUCCAUUGUCAGUGGAGGGUGAGGGUGACCCCAUCUGAUAUUUUUGUGCUCAUCCUCAUACAACCAUUUGGGGAUGUGCCUAUUAGGGCUCCGUAAGAGCUCAGAUGCCUGGGAAGCCCAGCCCCUCAGGUGCCCCCACACACAGCCUUCCCUUGACGCCUACAUUUCUAGGCACAUGUGAGGCAUCUUUCCU
rnacentral:lncRNA from 1 species